AAGGGAGAACGAGUGGUCACUUCUACGGUGCCGGCGCACGUGAGGUAUAGGCACUCACCUACAUAAUGGUGAUUGGAGCAUUUAUUUAGCACCCAGUGUGUGCAAAUGCGCCUGCGAGCUCCAAGGCCCCCUUCACAGGCAUGCAACCGGUGUGCCGCACAGGCCCGGGUAUAAUGCCCUGCUGUUCCAGUCUUGAAAUUCCUGGUUCAGAUUCCUUGAAACUUUGGGAGUUUCAUUUUGUACUGGGCUUUGCAAAUUGUGUGGCCUGUCCUGGUGAGCUUUCUUUUAUUUAACCUUAGCAACAACCCUGCAGGAAAAUAGAGGUGAUGGUAAUACUAGGGUUAGUGACAGCACGGCUUCUCAUUCUGAAAUCCAGGUGCCCUAACAUGAGGUGUUCUAAUCGCUCUUUAAAUGAAACAGGAUUACAAAGUGGGUAUUAGAAUAAUGUAAUGCACUUUUAAGAUAAGGCAACCAACCCUCAAGGAAGAAUGAAAUAAAUUGUUCAAGAAUAUAUAAAUGACAAAUAGUUGGGUGACAAUAAGACCCCAGAUCAGAAAACUAAAGCAUA
rnacentral:lncRNA from 1 species